rnacentral:rRNA from 1 species
AUGCCGCGAGGUGGAGCGAAUCUCAGAAAGUACGUCUAAGUCCGGAUUGGAGUCUGCAACUCGACUCCAUGAAGUCGGAAUCGCUAGUAAUCGCGAAUCAGAAUGUCGCGGUGAAUACGUUCCCGGGCCUUGUACACACCGCCCGUCACACCAUGGGAGUGGGUUGUACCAGAAGUAGAUAGCUUAACCUUCGGGAGGGCGUUUACCACGGUAUGAUUCAUGACUGGGGUGAAGUCGUAACAAGGUAACCGUAGGGGAACCUGCGGUUGGAUCACCUCCUUACCAAAGA